AAAUUGAAGAGUUUGAUCAUGGCUCAGAUUGAACGCUGGCGGCAGGCCUAACACAUGCAAGUCGAACGGUAACAGGAAGAAGCUUGCUUCUUUGCUGACGAGUGGCGGACGGGUGAGUAAUGUCUGGGAAACUGCCUGAUGGAGGGGGAUAACUACUGGAAACGGUAGCUAAUACCGCAUAACGUCGCAAGACCAAAGAGGGGGACCUUCGGGCCUCUUGCCAUCGGAUGUGCCCAGAUGGGAUUAGCUAGUAGGUGGGGUAACGGCUCACCUAGGCGACGAUCCCUAGCUGGUCUGAGAGGAUGACCAGCCACACUGGAACUGAGACACGGUCCAGACUCCUACGGGAGGCAGCAGUGGGGAAUAUUGCACAAUGGGCGCAAGCCUGAUGCAGCCAUGCCGCGUGUAUGAAGAAGGCCUUCGGGUUGUAAAGUACUUUCAGCGGGGAGGAAGGGAGUAAAGUUAAUACCUUUGCUCAUUGACGUUACCCGCAGAAGAAGCACCGGCUAACUCCGUGCCAGC
rnacentral:rRNA from 1 species